CCAGAGUCACUCUGUUUGCGCAGGCGUUCUUUGGUGUUUACAGCUGCCGCGAGGUCCUGCAUUUGCGCCUGCGCGUCCCGCCAGCGGCCGACCAAUGGCCCUCAAAUGGUUGAUUGUUAGACGCUCCCCAAGUCCCCUAGUGGGCUCCCUGGGGCCCCUGCCGGCUUCACUUCAGUUGAGAUGUCUCCAGAGCCCCGGAGUGGCGAAUAUCUGAGGAGUGGCAAAGAGGAGGCACAACGCAGUCUCUAUAUUCCUUCUCUCCUGGGACUCCAGCAUCUCAGUGACCGCUCCACCAAGCCUCGGAGGCCGAUUCUGGCGCCCCCCACGGCGGACGUGGCGGCUGCGGUGAGGUGUACCGUAACGGCCCACGCACAGCCUCAUGGGAACCUUAGUUCAUGGCUAGAGCCUUUCUGGGGUUGGAGCGCUGUGAGAACUAUAUUUUCCAGAAGCCCAAGAGCCUGAGUGAGACCUAGAAGAACGGCCCCGGGCACGGUAGGAGCUGAAGUUUGGAGACCGUCGUGGGGUUGUGCUGGCUGGAAAACCUCAUGGUUCCAGGAAACAUGGGAAGACUACAUUUCCCAACCUUCCUAGUAGAUGUGAUCUCACCAAUGGGAAUGCGGGCAGAGGAAUGUGUCACUUCAGCUCCAAAGCAAUUAAGUGUCAGUGUGAAUCUUUUCCCCACUCACCCAGUCCCCAACCUCUCUCCCAUUUGAGCAGCUGGGAUCAAGAACUUUGAGAUGAUAGAGAUGCUGGGUAGAAGCAGCUCUGAUCUGAGUCACUGCUGGAGGAGAAUAGUACACCAACAUUGUAUACCUCACACUGUGAUUUGAGUGAGAAACCAAACUUUGUUGUGUUAAGCCACUGAGAUAUGAAGGUUUAUUUGGUACCAUAUGUGGUGAAUUAAAGAUGACCAGAAAUU